CAGUCGCCGCGGUAAUACGGAGGGUGCAAGCGUUAAUCGGAAUUACUGGGCGUAAAGCGCACGCAGGCGGUUUGUUAAGUCAGAUGUGAAAUCCCCGAGCUUAACUUGGGAACUGCAUUUGAAACUGGCAAGCUAGAGUCUUGUAGAGGGGGGUAGAAUUCCAGGUGUAGCGGUGAAAUGCGUAGAGAUCUGGAGGAAUACCGGUGGCGAAGGCGGCCCCCUGGACAAAGACUGACGCUCAGGUGCGAAAGCGCGGGGAGCAAACAGGAUUAGAUACCCGAGUAGUCCCUGUCUCUUAUAC
rnacentral:rRNA from 1 species